ACCUCAAGUCAUGUGGUCACGUGCACUACGAAGAUGGUGAUUUCCAAUUCACAUUUGUUCACAUUUUGCUUUUCCGUGAAAGGUUUCGUGAGAUUGUGAUCCGGGGAGAGUAGGCUUAGCCAACGGACAGAUUUCGAUUUGAACAAAUGCGGAGCUAUGGGUUGAAGGGUUGAUUAAACGGGUGAACUUGAAUUGACUCUUAAAUUCUUUCAAAGGUCCAAUUUCGACUUUAGUUCAUUUCAAUUUGAUCUGAUCUGUCAAGAUCUAAUGAUCUAUUUUCCCUUUUUUUUUUAAAUUUUU